GGGCUAUGCAAUCGCUGUGCGGUGAACCCCGCCAGGUUCGGAAGAAAGCAACGGUAGCUGUUAUAGUGGUGUGCCGUAGUUA
rnacentral:SRP_RNA from 1 species